UACACAAAUUUGGUUAAUGAAAAUAGUUGACAGAUUGAUUUUGCAACUUUUUUCCUAAAUAAUUUGCUAUAUAUCUAAUUUAUUGAAAAUUUGACUACAAUUUUAUUCGAAUGUUUUGAAAUUUGUGAUGAAUUCAUUUUCAUUUGUCAAAUAAUGAUCAUGAUAUAGUGAUUCUUUUGAAUAUUCGAGAUUUUAGAUCAUAAUGAAAAAGAGAAACCCGGCGACGAUACAUGGACGACAAACAAACCUAUAGAAUUUAUGAACGAAUGGAUCCAAUGGAUUCGUAUGUCUAUAAAUUUGAACAAAACAUCCCAUCAUAUCAUAUCAACAUUGUCAUCGUCCAAUCUGAUUCCCGUGGUAUUCGAAUAAAUUCUUUAUUCAAUUUUUUUUUCAAUGACUGUUUUUGUCAUCGUUUUCAAAAAUGCAUAAUUAUUCAUUCAUCCUUCAAGCUAACGGCAUCUCUCUUUCCCUAUAUACAGACAGUCAACCAACCAACCAACCAACUCACAUAAAGAAUAAUUUUUAAAAAUAGAAUUUUUAUUCCAAUUGAGAAAUCAUCAUCAUGGCCAUUAGGUACGGGUUUAUUAUGUUAUUGAUGAUGAUCUAUCUUGUAUUGUCUGCCUUUUACAUAAAUUUCCAGUUCCAGUAUCAUUCACAUAUUCCAUCUAUAUUUGGUUGAUGACUGAGAAUCGUGUUCGAUACAUAUAAAUGAUGAAAAAAAAGUGCUAACCUGAAAUAAAUUUUUGAAACCAUUAACCGA